GGCUCUGUGGCCCAAUGGUUAAGGCGCCUGACUACGAAUCAGGAGAUUCCGCGUUCGACUCGCGGCAGAGUCA
rfam:Ramazzottius varieornatus DNA, contig: Scaffold002, strain: YOKOZTNA-1.